UAAAGGCCCGACGAAGCAUGGGAAAAGGCUGGGUGGGGAGUUUAGAUUUAUCACUUCAUUUGGUACUCAACUUGACUAACCUCUCUAUAUUGCGCCACCUACAGAAAUCGCUUCGUCGCAUCGGAGGCGGCGAAGCUGAUCAGAACGGUUACCUACUACCAUCAAUAAACUCCUCUCAAACUCCUAUCUCCAUUUCUUGUGUCAAUUUCGUACAAAACUUACUGCAGAUCCCUCAAUCAUAAAAUUGGCUUAAGAACCCUAACACUUUAAACAACAAUUAAAUGAAGAUGGAGGGGAAUCAAGCCACUCCACCUUGGGGCUUUGAUUCCCCUCAUUGAAGGCUACAUUGUGGUAACUAUUUCAUAGUGAAUAAAAGAGGAACGGGGAAAGAGCUUACCUAUAGGGAAGAUAUUAGCCCCGGAGAUAAUAGGAGUUGAAGAAGAUGAAGCUAAAAAAGAUAGAAAACCAGAGAUAUUCAGUGCUUAUGCUGAUCAUGAAGCAUCAUUCAUGAAGAUUUGGUCAGGGCAUGAAAGUUGACAAAAUGGACAUGAAGAAUAUUGAAGUCAAUUAAGCACUUGGAGGCACAAGGGUAGAAGAUUUAUGGGAUAAAGACCAAAGUAGACUUAGGAGUCGGUUUGACUUUAGUGAACAGUCUGAACAAAAAGUCAACAUCUAACAAAAGUCAACUCUAGGUCAAAUGUAGGUUUUAUUAUAUAUAAUUUGCUUUAGGACUUUUUGUAAUGUUUUUCAUGACUUUGUAAUAGAAAUUAGUCCUUUUAAAUGAAUUGUGUGACUUGUUAUGCAA